rnacentral:misc_RNA from 1 species
GGGGGGGGGGGGUGUGGGGUGCAUGGAAUAUUUUGCUAUUCCAUAUGAUAGCCUUCCCAAGCUAAUUGAAAUCCUAGCACUCAUUCGUCCAAAUGAAAGGAGGGAUAAAAAAAACCCAUUAAACAUCAUUCUGGCAUACGAAUCUCCCUAAUAGUGGAUAGCAGCACCUCAUCCCCAGCAAUCAAUCGCAACUGCUUUAUGAACAUAUCUCUGGCCAACUUACCCCCUCUGUAAGUAUCAUAUAAUGUCACCACUUCCCGAAUUUUGGUGGGAGGGAGCAAAUUCCUCAUCUUCGAAAACAAUUUCUCAAGGGAAUAUUUCAUACAAGUCGGUCCUUUCACUUGGCCUAACAAACAACAUCAACUAAAAUCGCCAUACUAAACGAACAACCAAAGCGCAACCACAAUGACAAAAAGAACCAACAUUUACCUUGCACUUGAUGAGCAGAUUUGUAGCUCACAACACACUCGGGGAUAAUGUGUCUGUUCAUAUUGCUUGACCAAACAAUAUACCACUUGGGAUUGUUAAGAUCAUCUGCACCAGUAUCAAAUUGAAAGUUUGAAGGAUAAUAUUGUUGUGACCCCAUCUCGACUUUCUCAACAUUACCCAAGAUAACUCUACACAGUAUAAGAUGUUUUUCGCCGUUACCAUCCAUCUCCGAUAACUUUGCACUCAUAUAGGGCAAUCCCAAAGGAGACAGAUAAACACCAACCCCAUAACAUUCAGUACCGGAAAUCUUGCUAGGUACCCCAAACCCAUGCGCUAAAAUACUCUCCACACCCUUCGCCGAUGCGCCAUGCCAAGCAUACACCAAAUUAGACAGACCACGCGCGGCCUUCGUAAUCUCAAUCUGCUUUUGGAAAACCUCAUAACGCGCCUUCUCCAAAUGACCAUCGCGCGUGCAUUGAUAAAUGGCGGUAAUUGUAGCACCGGCAUCAACUUUCCUUAUCCCAGACAAAAAAUAAUCCCUAACCAUUGAAUAAGCUUUUUCACCUUCUGUCAAUAACCUAGCAUUGGGCCAUCUAGAUGUUUCCACAUCGGGAAAACAUAAACGCGGCCGUUUCGAAGCAUCCUCCUCUUGCUUAAUCGACGAAUUAACCUCGGGCUCUUCUUUAUCCAAUCCAUCCCUCUUUCGCUUAAUUGGACUAUUAUCAAUCCGAAUCUCAAUUUCAAUUUUAGGAUUCUCCGAUUUCUUCGGCCUACCAUCAAAAUCCUCACCGACAAACAUUUUAGGGAAAAAACACUUCCCUUUCUCAUCAAUCCACGCAAUCGAUCGCUGACAGCCGGAGUCGAAAUCAGUUUGCAACAUGCGCAUGAAAUCAAAAACAUACCUGGAGCCACUGAUUAACAAGUCAACCAUGGGCUUGCCCUCUACAAAAGCAGAUUUCAGAGAACCGAGCACUUCAUCGGGGAAAUUCAGCCAGGAACCAUCGUGACUGAAGUACAUAAAGCGAACCGGAGUGGCGCUGCGCUUGAAAUUGCCGUGAUUCUGCAACAUGAUCUUGGAAGAACAUAAAUCCGUCGAGUGAAUCCCGCAGCAGUUCUGAGUCCUGGGCGGCGAAGAAGAAGACGAAGAUGCUGAAGUUGAUUUGGAUUCCACCAUGUUCCUUCCUUCAAGAACCAUAACUUUACACCACUUGCAGGUAAAUGCAAUUGUAUGGUCUACGAAAUUGACAAAGAACCAGUAGAAUCAACAGUAACGAUUUGCGGAGCUGCCAUUUAUAAUUGAUGGAAACUAUCCACCUUACUAAAAUACCCUUAGCUAUUUAUUCAUGGUUAAGUCGGUGAUCGCCGUAUUUUGGUAGGGGUGUUUUGGAGAUUGUGGCGUGCGACUUUGUCCAGAAUCAGGAAAAAA